UAUUUAUCUCUCUCUCAAUUUUUCUAUUUCAUUUUCUUUUCUUUUUCAACCCAAUCUUUGAGGCAAGAUUUAUUCUUCGUUACUUGGCGGAUUUAGGUGCCGUUUGAGGCAAAAUGAAGCCCACGACGAGCUCUACGCAUCCAUACGAACAAUUCCAGAUUUGGUGCCCUUCUUGGAGUUCGAAAUUCAAGACCCAUUUUAAGGGUUUUGUGCAAAUUUGAGGUUUUGGAAAUGAACUGGUGGACGACAAUCCACCUCAAGCUUGAAAGUUGUUAGAAGGUUGUUUGCUAUUUUGUAUUUUGACCGUUCUAUGUAUAUUUGUAGUUGUGGAAAUGUAACUAAGUUAGUAUUCAUGGCCUUGUAACUUAAGAACGAACUUAUCUUUUGUUUGAUGUAAAUGAAACUAGUGGAAUUAUGGUAUAUGUUUCCAUGCAAUUGUAUCAUGUAACGUUGUAAGACAGGGACUUUAAAUAUUAAUCUUGUAUUUUGGGACUGUAA